rnacentral:lncRNA from 1 species
CUGAGCUUUAGAGCUGAGCACACUGUCCGGGUGCAGAGGAGAGAGAGGGGAGCGCGGUGGGAGGGAGGGAGGCAGGGCACGUUCCAUCGCAUCGCUGUGUGACCGCUGCUGCCCAUCGCCUUGCAUCGCAGCAACCUCGGUCAACAACUUACUGAGGUUCCUUUUCUUUUGCAAGAGGAUGUCAGCUCAGAGCCUCAGCAAGAAAUAACAGGCUUCACCUUGGAAUAGUUCAUUCACUCCUGCUUCAUUAAAGAGGAUUUUGAAAAGAAAACCGAAACCAAGUCCCCUUUCCAGCCCCACUUUGUUCCAGAAUUGAACAGAAACAGUUUUCUGCUCCAGAUUUUUUUCUGUACACAAACUGGAAUUCAUGCCAGGGAAAAGGUCAACUGGUAAAGUUCCUAGAAUUGGUUGAUCUGAACCCCAUGGUGAGUAAACAUUUAAAUGAAAAGUCCCCUUUUCCUCGAGGUACAUUUCUCUCAUGACAAUUAAAAUGUGGAAUUAUUAGUUUUAUUACAAAAAUAACAUCACUCACUAAAGGCCCUUUUAUUUCUGCCGUGAACAUUUCAGUUUUGUCUCCGUAAGCUACUUUUCAAUAUAAUUUAGAUGUUAUACAAGUAAAUGUAGAGGCAGGAUCAAGAUGGUGGCGGAAAUAAUACAUAGCACUCACCUUCUCCCACAAACACAUCAAAAAAAAAAAAAUGUAAAUGUGGAAUGAUUCACACAGAACAUCUACUGAACACUGACAGAAGCCCUUAAACCUCCAAAAAGGGAGGUUUGGGGGCUUAACCCCCACCCCCCACAUAACUGAGUAGAACAAAGGGGGAAAAAAAAAAGAGAAGAGAAAAAAAAACAAAGAUUCAGGAUGGGACCAGCAGUCCUGAGAGGGAGCUGUGAAUGAAGGAACCUGCACCCUGGGAAGCUACCUAAC